rnacentral:ncRNA from 2 species
CCCGUCUUGCCGGGGUGCCCGCGAGGGCUGAGAGGCGCGUCAGCGCCAACCCGACGAACCUGAUCCGGGUCAUGCCGGCGGAGGGAGCGCGAGACGACGCCUC